GAAAAAAUAAGGAGAGAUUUGGAAACAGAAGCAACCACCAAAAUUUAAACAUACAAAGAAGAAGCAGUCCAUCACUGAAGAUUUACAUACCAUACAUAAGUACACAGAGUCAAAGAAAUUCGGAAUACCAGGCAUUUUACUUAGAGAAAAAAGGAAGGAACCAGAACCAAGAUGAACCACAUAAACCACAAAACAUAUUUAUAAAGAAAAGCUUCAUCCACGAACAUUUUAUUAGCAAAGUUAAUUUUUAUGAACACAUCUACCAAGAUUUACAAUUCCCAAAAUUGCGGCGAUCACACACUUCACCUUUUACCAACUCAAUGGAA
rnacentral:lncRNA from 1 species